GACGAACGCUGGCGGCGUGCUUAACACAUGCAAGUCGAACGGAAAGGCCCUGCUUUUGUGUGGUGCUCGAGUUGCGAACGGGUGAGUAACACGUGAGUAACCUGCCCUUGACUUUGGGAUAACUUCAGGAAACUGGGGCUAAUACCGGAUAGGAGCUCCUGCUGCAUGGUGGGGGUUGGAAAGUUUCGGCGGUUGGGGAGGGACUCGCGGCUUAUCAGCUUGUUGGUGGGGUAGUGGCUUACCAAGGCUUUGACGGGUAGCCGGCCUGAGAGGGUGACCGGCCAAAUUGGGACUGGGAUACGGCCCAGACUCCUACGGGAGGCAGCAGUGGGGAAUAUUGCACAAUGGGCGGAAGCCUGAUGCAGCAACGCCGCGUGCGGGAUGACGGCCUUCGGGUUGGAAACCGCUUGCGCCUGUGACGAAGCGUGAGUGACGGUAAUGGGUAAAGAAGCACCGGCUAAAUACGUG
rnacentral:rRNA from 1 species